UACGGAGGAUGCGAGCGUUAUCCGGAUUUAUUGGGUUUAAAGGGUGCGUAGGCGGAACAUUAAGUCAGCGGUAAAAUCGAGGGGCUCAACCCCUUUAAGCCGUUGAAACUGGCAGUCUCGAGUUGGAGAGAAGUAUGCGGAAUGCGCGGUGUAGCGGUGAAAUGCAUAGAUAUCGCGCAGAACUCCGAUUGCGAAGGCAGCAUGCCGGCUCCACACUGACGCUGAGGCACGAAAGCGUGGGUAUCGAACAGG
rnacentral:rRNA from 1 species